AGUGAACGCUGGCGGUAGGCCUAACACAUGCAAGUCGAACGGCAGCACAGUAAGAGCUUGCUCUUACGGGUGGCGAGUGGCGGACGGGUGAGGAAUACAUCGGAAUCUACUUUUUCGUGGGGGAUAACGUAGGGAAACUUACGCUAAUACCGCAUACGACCUACGGGUGAAAGCAGGGGAUCUUCGGACCUUGCGCGAUUGAAUGAGCCGAUGUCGGAUUAGCUAGUUGGCGGGGUAAAGGCCCACCAAGGCGACGAUUCGUAGCUGGUCUGAGAGGAUGAUCGGCCACACUGGAACUGAGACACGGUCCAGACUCCUACGGGAGGCAGCAGUGGGGAAUAUUGGGCAAUGGGCGCAAGCCUGAUCCAGCCAUACCGCGUGGGUGAAGAAGGCCUUCGGGUUGUAAAGCCCUUUUGUUGGGAAAGAAAAGCAGCAGGUUAAUACCCCGCUGUUCUGACGGUACCCAAUGAAUAAGCACCGGCUAACUUCGUG
rnacentral:rRNA from 1 species